GUUAGGAAAGACAUGCAUCACGAUAUUUGACAUUGCAUCUCAUGGCAUUGCACAUUUUAUUAUUGAUGAACUUGAACAUGUGUUUUGCUGAUCUUGUGAUUGUUUCUCUGUGAAGUCUGUGAUUGUUGAAUAUUGAGUUGUUAUUGAGAAUGUGUAAACUGAUAGAGUGUGGUUAUUGAGUGGUGUGUUUGGUAAACUGUUAGGCUGUAGCGUGGAGGUUUAGAUAGGGUGUAAGGAGUACCCGUAUUUUGUUCACUUAACUUGUGUUUAGAGGUUUGCUUGUUGGGUACCGCGUGGUUUGGUACUCACCCCUUGCUUCUACAAAUUUUUGUAGGUUACGAGCCUGGAUCUUUGUGAUACCUUCUAUUCUCUUCGUUUUCGAGGCAUCUUGUGGAGGAUUGUGAGGUAGCUGUUUGUCAUCUCAGCGAACUUUCCUACUCCAGUUUAUGAUUUUGUUUUUACUUGAAAGACAACUUCAUUUUAGACUUCUAUUUUGUUUCAAUUCUAAUGUUUACAUUAGAGGCUUGUGCACGUGACAACCUGGUUUUGGGGAUUGAAUUAUAUGACUUGGUUUCAUACUAGAAAUUGUUGUUGGAUUGUCAUUUACUUCCGCACUUUGUUAGAUAUUGGGUUUUAGGCUGACUUGUCUUGGUGGGAUAAGACAAGUGCCAUCACACCUAUUUUUGGGUCGUGACAAAAUGGUAUCAGAGCCCCAGGUUCAUAGGUCUCACGUGUAUACAAGCCGAGUCUACGUAGAGUCUCAAGGAUCAGUACGGAGACGUCUGUACUCAUCUUUGAGAGGCUAUAAAGAUUACUAGGAAACUUCCUUUUGUUCAUUCUUUCUCAUCGUGCGUAGUUACCUUCGUUAGUACUGAGUUGUUGUAUACUCUUUUGACAGAUGACGAGGACUAGAACUAAUGUUACUGGUGGUAGAGGGGAGGCACUUCCCGAGGCAGUUGUUGAGGCCCCAGCUAGAGGUAGGGGUAGAUCUCGAGCUAGAGGUCGUGCUAGUAGUACGACAGUAACCAGAGGUCGUGGACGUGGAGCAGCACCAGUGAGAGGUCGUGCUAGAGAGGUCUCUACCGAACCACAGAUUGAUGACAGAGAGGACCAGGUUCCUCCAGAUCCCGUAGUCACACCUUUGCUUCAGGAUACACUAUUGAGGGUGUUAAGUGUGCUAGAGGGCUUUUCUCAGGGUGGUGGUGCGACUACCACACCACAUGACUCUCGUACUAGAGAGGGGGCUCAGACCCAAGAGCAACAACAAGCUCCAGUUUUUCAGGAUGCGGUGGGGCAACUACCAGUAGAUCCCGCGGUUCAUAAUGAUAUUGCACCAGCAGUUGGGGGUCAAGUUGCAUCGAUGGUUGUUCUGACAGAGGAUGAGCAGCGUAGGUAUGAGAGAUUUCGAAAGAUGGACCCACCUCAGUUUCAGGGUGGGAAGAGCGAGGACGCUCAUGAGUUUCUAACUACCUGCCGAGAGUUACUAGAGGUGGUUGGAUUAGCUGAGUCACAUGGGGUUAGAUAUGCUACACUCCAGCUUCGUGGACCAGCGAGAGACUGGUGGAGGACUUAUUCGGGAUGUUUGCCAGUUGGAUCUCCUCCAGUGACUUGGGAGCAGUUUGCUAGCGCAUUCCAAGAUCGUUUUAUCCCAUGGAGCGUGAGAGAGGAGAGUCGCUUGAGGUUUGAGAGUCUGAGACAGGAUGGUUUAUCGGUUACAGAGUAUGAGGCGCGUUUUUGCCAGUUGUCUAGGCAUGCGUUGGCCAUUAUUCCAAAUGAGACAGAGAGGAUCCGCAGAUUUGUGAGGGGAUUGACUUUCUCUAUCAGGUCAGCUGUGUUUCGGACAUCUAGGGAGGGGACUUCUUUCCAGUCCAUUGUGAGCGCCGCCAAAGAGGCGGAAUUGAUGGAGAGAGAGGAGUUUGGGGACCCUAAAAGAGCUCGUAUAUCAGGCCAGUUUCAGGGUGCCUCAUCUGGAGGUAGGGGAUCACAGAGAGUGAGUGGUUCUUUUCAGCAGCGGGGACCUAUUCAUGCAUCUAUGCCGACAUUUGAGGGUGGCCAGACAUCUAGGGGUUCUUAUGGCCCAGGUCAGGGCUCGUACGGUUCACAACAGCGACCUACAGGGCGAGGAAAUUAUAGUGGGUUUUCAGGGUCCACACAACAGUUCCCAGGUCAGAGAUUUUGUUUUACUUGUGGAGAUCCCGAUCAUCUAAUGCGGCAGUGUACUUCUCAAAGGGGUCGUGGUGGGCCUCGACCAAAUUCUUCAUUCCAGACUAGACCACCAGCACCACAGGGUAGAGGUCGUGGCAGAGUUCAGUCAGGUAGAGGUGAUAGAGUUUCUAGUAGUGGUGUUGCAGCUCAGCAGAGUGGGGGUAGAGGUACCACCCAGGAUGGAGGUGGACGAGGAGGCCACUGCUAUGCUUUCCCCGGGAGACCUGAGGCGGAGACCUCAGAUGCGGUUAUUACAGGUAUCAUCCCAGUAUGCCAUCGACCUGCGUCUGUGUUGUUUGAUCCAGGUUCUACAUUCUCUUAUGUGUCUACGUAUUUUGCUGCUAAAUUUGAUAUGAUAUGUGAUAGCAUGACUGUACCUAUUCGUGUUUCUACACCCGUGGGUAAGCCCUAGUGGUGGAUCGAGUGUAUCGAUCCUGUCUUGUUUCUUUGGCUGGGUAUGACACUUGGGUAGACUUAAUCAUUCUGGGGAUGGUGGACUUUGAUGUUAUCUUGGGUAUGGAUUGGCUUUCUCCUUAUCAUGCUGUCCUUGAUUGUAAUGCUAAGACUGUGACUUUAGCAAUGCCUGGUGUUCCGAGGGUUGAGUGGAAGAGUGUUAGUGGUUCUUAUCCUAGAAAGGUUAUCUCUUUUAUCCGUGCUCAGAGAUUGGUGGAGAGGGGGUGUUUGUCUUACUUAGCUUUUAUUCGGGAUACUAGUGUUGAACCACCUUCCAUGGACUCUGUUCCCGUGGUUCAGGAGUUUCUCGAUGUAUUUCCUUCUGAUCUUCCAGGUGUUCCUCCCGAUAGGGAUAUUGAUUUUGCUAUUGAUUUGGAGCCAGGCACUAAGCCUAUUUCUAUACCUCCAUAUCGUAUGGCCCCAGCAGAGUUGAAAGAAUUAAAGGAUCAGUUGCAAGAUUUAUUGAGUAAGGGUUUUAUUCGCCCUAGUGUAUCACCUUGGGGUGCCCCUGUAUUGUUUGUGAAGAAAAAGGAUGGGACUAUGAGAAUGUGUAUUGAUUACAGACAGUUGAACAAGGUAACAAUUAAGAAUAAGUAUCCUCUUCCGCGUAUUGAUGACUUAUUUGAUCAGUUACAGGGAGCAUCAUUGUUCUCUAAGAUUGAUUUGAGGUCUGGGUAUCAUCAGUUGAAAAUUAGGGCAUCAGAUAUCCCUAAGACAGCUUUUCGGACCCGGUAUGGGCAUUAUGAGUUUCUAGUGAUGUCCUUCGGAUUGACUAAUGCCCCUGCAGCAUUCAUGGAGUUGAUGAAUGGGGUGUUUCGACCAUACCUUGAUUCUUUUGUGAUUGUUUUCAUCGAUGACAUCUUGGUUUACUCUAAGACUGAGGAGGACCAUGUCCGACACCUGAGGAUUGUACUCCAGAGGUUGAGAGAAGAGAAGUUGUAUGCCAAGUUCUCAAAGUGUGAGUUCUGGCUUACUUCUGUGACAUUCUUGGGGCACGUGGUGUCCAAGGAGGGUAUUAGAGUAGAUCCAGCCAAAAUUAAGGCAGUUAGAGGCUGGACGCGACCUACCUCACCUACUGAGAUUAGGAGUUUUGUGGGAUUGGCAGGCUAUUAUCGACGAUUUGUUCAGAGUUUCUCUACUAUUGCAGCUCCAUUGACUAGAUUGACUCGACAGGAUGUGAGUUUUCAGUGGUCUGAUGAGUGUGAGGAGAGCUUUCAAAAACUCAAGACUUUGUUGACUUCUGCUCCUGUGUUGACUCUACCUGAGGAAGGUGUAGACUUUACUGUGUAUUGUGAUGCUUCAGGAGUUGGUUUGGGUGGUGUGUUGAUGCAGAAGGGGAAAGUGAUUGCUUAUGCUUCUAGGCAAUUGAAAUCCCAUGAGAAAAACUACCCUACUCAUGAUUUGGAGUUGGCGGCUGUGGUAUUUGUACUUAAGUUAUGGCGUCAUUAUUUGUAUGGGGUGCAUUGUGAGAUCUUCACUGAUCAUCGGAGUCUUCAAUAUAUCUUUAGCUAGAGGGAUUUGAACUUGAGGCAACGGAGAUGGCUUGAGUUGUUGAAGGACUAUGAUGUGACCAUUCUGUAUCAUCCAGGAAAGGCCAAUGUUAUGGCCGAUGCUCUGAGUAGGAAGACUCCUAGCAUGGGGAGUCUUGCAGCACUUAGUAUUAUGGAGAGACCAUUGGCUAGAGAUGUGCAGAUAUUAGCUAACAGUCUUGUCCGCUUGCAGAUUUCAGAAGAGAGUGAGGGGAUGAUUGCUUUUAUUGAGGCUCGGUCUUCUUUAGUCGAGCAAAUUCGUGCACACCAAUUUGAUGACGAAAAAUUAUGUCUCAUUCGAGACAGAGUAUUGAGAGGGGAAGCUAAGGAGGCUGUCCUUGAUUCUGAUGGUGUCUUGCGGAUCGGAGGCAGAAUUUGUGUGCCCAGGACAGGCGAUUUGAUUAGAUUGAUUCUUGAGGAGGCCCAUUGUACUCGGUAUUCCAUCCAUCCGGGAGCGGCAAAGAUGUAUCAUGAUCUGAGUCAGCAUUACUGGUGGUGUGGGAUGAAGAGAGAUAUUUCAGACUUUGUUUCUAGGUGUUUGACUUGCCAGCAGGUCAAAUGUGAGCACCAGCGGCCAGGGGGUGUAUCUCAGAGGAUGCCUAUUCCUACUUGGAAGUGGGAGCGGAUUACUAUGGACUUUGUUGUGGGUUUGCCUACCACAGUGGGUGGUUAUGACUCUAUUUGGGUUGUUGUUGAUAGACUGACCAAGUCUGCCCACUUCAUCCCGGUUCGGGUAAAGUAUACAGCAGAAAAGUUAGCCGAACUAUAUAUCAGUCAGAUUGUACGACUACAUGGAGUUCCUCUUUCUAUCAUAUCAGAUCGAGGUUCACUAUUUACUUCUCACUUCUGGAAGGCAUUACAACAUGGUCUGGGUACUCAGUUAGAUAUGAGUACGGCAUUUCACCCUCAGACAGAUGGUCAAUCUGAGCGGACCAUUCAGGUAUUGGAAGAUAUGCUUCGAGCGUGUGUGAUCGAUUUUGGUGCAAGAUGGGAUCGACAUUUACCCUUAGCGGAGUUUGCCUAUAAUAACAGUUAUCACUCUAGUAUCCAAAUGGCCCCAUUUGAGGCAUUAUAUGGUAGACGGUGUAGAUCUCCUAUUGGUUGGUUUGAUUCGGCGGAGAUGGACUCUUUGGAUACAGACUUGCUUAGAGAUGCUAUGGAGCAAGUUCGUAUGAUUCAGUAUAGAUUAUUGACAGCUCAGAGUCGACAAAAGAGUUAUGCAGACCGGAGAGUUAGAGCCUUGGUGUUUAUGGAGGGUGAUCAUGUUUGGCUCCGAGUAUCACCCAUGAAGGGUGUAAUGAGGUUUGGAAAGAAGGGCAAGCUUAGCCCUAGGUUCAUUGGACCUUUUGAGAUUUUGAGCCGAGUGGGAGAGGUGGCCUAUAAGUUGGCCUUGCCACCUAGUUUGUCGGCAGUUCAUCCUGUUUUCCAUGUCUCUAUGCUUCGGAAGUAUAUUCCGGAUGAAUCUCAUGUGAUUUCACUCGAUUCUGUGGAGCUGGGUCCAGACUUGACAUUUGAGGAGGAGCCUAUAGCUAUUUUGGAUAGGCAAAUUCGAAAGCUUAGGACCAAAGAGAUUGCUUCAGUGAAGGUGCAAUGGAAGCACCGAUCAGUGAGAGAGGCAACUUGGGAGACAGAGUCUGACAUGCGUGCCAGAUAUCCUCAACUUUUUGAAGCAUCAGGUACUUUCUUUUACUUUAUGUUCGAGGACGAACAUGAUUUUUAGUGGUGGAUAAUGUAAUGACCCGGAAGGUCAUUUUUGGAAAUUUUAAAUAUUAGUGUAACUUGAGUUAAUUAAUCGAUAGUUUAUGGGCUAAAAUGAUAAUUUAUUUAAGACCCUAUACUAUUUAGCCUUUAUUUAAUUAAAUAUGUGGAACAAAACUAACCUAAACGUGUGACGAAAAACAAAGAAGAGGAGAAAGUCUGAAAAACACUCGCAGCGCCGUCGAACAAGUGCACUUGAUUCAGGUAAUAAUUUUAAACUUUGCAUUGAGGCUGCUGAAUAUGUCUUGUAAUUAAUGUACAAUUAUAAUUUUUAUGUUAACUUUAAUAUGUGCUUUGGAAUGUGAAACAUGGCAAAAUGAAUAUGGAAUAAAGAAAUAAUAUUUGGAAGUUGGUAUAUUGGUAUGAAGUAAUUUUGAAAUUUAGAAAGAGGGUCAUGCCAAUCAUGUGAUAAUUGUUGGGAAUAUAAUUGCAUCAAGAUGAUUGAAAAAUAAUAGAUAGGAAUAUAGGGUAUCCAUUUGAGGAUUUAAAAUAUAUUUUUUUGUCCUCGUGAUUUUCUCUGUAACUUAAGGCUUCACUGUUUCUUAGAAUUUUCUUAUUAUUAUCAUAUUAAGAUUCAAGUGUGAUAUAUUGAGAUAGGUAAUUAAAUAUUAGAUAUAUUAUAUUAUAUAGAUAUCGUUAAAGUUAUGAUAUUUGGAGAAAUUGAAAUUUAACCGUAAGCUUAAAUUUGGAAAACAUGAGAGUUCACAUGUUAAUUGACAUCAAGAAUUACAAACUUGAUUAUAAAUUUGGGUGAAGUUUUAUGUCAAGGUUAAACACAUAAUAAUGUGGGUGUUGUUAGUUCCAAACCUUAUUGUGAAUAUACAUAUUUGAAUAGAUUGCAUCGAUUUGGAAGCUCAACUUAAAGGGAAGGCUCAAGUCCCGUAGUGAUUAUUCAAGUGACUAAGGCAAGUGGAUUUCUAAACUCUUGUUAAGCGUACGAAAUUCGUGUAUUUCCUUGUGUGAUGUUGAGAAUGAUUUGGAGACUUGUUGUUUAUUUGUUGGUGUUGUAUUUCUUGUUGUAAAUUGUGUUUGGUUAUCAAAUGGUUAUCUCCUCCCUUUUCAUUUGAGCAUGUCAUUUGCAUUGUAUCUGAGACAUUGUUGUGGUAAGAGGAUGGUGUACUAUUUUCGAGGGUCGUAUCGCGCGCCGCGAUGGAUAUUAUAUUUCGAGGGACGUAUCACGCGCCGCGAAGGUUACUACUUAUCGAGGGUCGUGUCGUGCGCCGCGACAGAUGCAUGGACAGAUAUGUCCCCCAUGGGUCCCGAACUGAGAGACAGCGGGUGUGUAUCGUUAGGAAAGACAUGCAUCACGAUAUUUGACAUUGCAUCUCAUGACAUUGCACAUCUUAUUAUUGAUGAACUUGAACAUGUGUUUUGCUGAUCUUGUGAUUGUUUCUCUGUGAAGUCUGUGAUUGUUGAAUAUUGAGUUGAUAUUGAGAAUGUGUAAACUGAUAGAGUGUGGUUAUUGAGUGGUGUGUUUGGUAAACUGUUAGGCUGUAGCGUGGAGGUUUAGAUAGGGUGUAAGGAGUACCCGUAUUUUGUUCACUUAACUUGUGUUUAGA
rnacentral:lncRNA from 1 species